AGAGUUUGAUCCUGGCUCAGAUUGAACGCUGGCGGCAUGCCUUACACAUGCAAGUCGAACGGUAACAGGUCUUCGGAUGCUGACGAGUGGCGAACGGGUGAGUAAUACAUCGGAACGUGCCCGAGAGUGGGGGAUAACGAGGCGAAAGCUUUGCUAAUACCGCAUACGAUCUACGGAUGAAAGCAGGGGACCGCAAGGCCUUGCGCUCAUGGAGCGGCCGAUGGCAGAUUAGGUAGUUGGUGGGAUAAAAGCUUACCAAGCCGACGAUCUGUAGCUGGUCUGAGAGGAUGAUCAGCCACACUGGGACUGAGACACGGCCCAGACUCCUACGGGAGGCAGCAGUGGGGAAUUUUGGACAAUGGGCGAAAGCCUGAUCCAGCCAUGCCGCGUGCAGGAUGAAGGCCUUCGGGUUGUAAACUGCUUUUGUACGGAACGAAAAGACUCUUUCUAAUAAAGAGGGUCCAUGACGGUACCCGUAGAAUAAGCACCGGCUAACUACGUGCCAGCAGCCGCGGUAAUAC
rnacentral:rRNA from 1 species